AAAGACCCCGUGAACCUUUACUAUAGCUUGACACUGAACAUUGAGCCUUGAUGUGUAGGAUAGGUGGGAGGCUUUGAAGCGUGGACGCCAGUCUGCGUGGAGCCGACCUUGAAAUACCACCCUUUAAUGUUUGAUGUUCUAACGUGGACCCGUAAUCCGGGUUGCGGACAGUGUCUGGUGGGUAGUUUGACUGGGGCGGUCUCCUCCUAAAGAGUAACGGAGGAGCACGAAGGUUGGCUAAUCCUGGUCGGACAUCAGGAGGUUAGUGCAAUGGCAUAAGCCAGCUUGACUGCGAGCGUGACGGCGCGAGCAGGUGCGAAAGCAGGUCAUAGUGAUCCGGUGGUUCUGAAUGGAAGGGCCAUCGCUCAACGGAUAAAAGGUACUCCGGGGAUAACAGGCUGAUACCGCCCAAGAGUUCAUAUCGACGGCGGUGUUUGGCACCUCGAUGUCGGCUCAUCACAUCCUGGGGCUGAAGUAGGUCCCAAGGGUAUGGCUGUUCGCCAUUUAAAGUGGUACGCGAGCUGGGUUUAGAACGUCGUGAGACAGUUCGGUCCCUAUCUGCCGUGGGCGCUGGAGAACUGAGGGGGGCUGCUCCUAGUACGAGAGGACCGGAGUGGACGCAUCACUGGUGUUCGGGUUGUCAUGCCAAUGGCACUGCCCGGUAGCUAAAUGCGGAAGAGAUAAGUGCUGAAAGCAUCUAAGCACGAAACUUGCCCCGAGAUGAGUUCUCCCUGAGACUUUAGGUCUCCUGAAGGAACGUUGAAGACGACGACGUUGAUAGGCCGGGUGUGUAAGCGCAGCGAUGCGUUGAGCUAACCGGUACUAAUGAACCGUGAGGCUUAACCUU
rnacentral:rRNA from 1 species